UACGGAGGGUGCAAGCAUUAAUCGGAUUUAUUGGGCGUAAAGGGCGCGUAGGCGGCCGUGUAAGUCAGACGUGAAAUUCCGGGGCUCAACCCCGGAGCUGCAUUUGAAACUACACAGCUAGAGGGUAGAAGGAGAAAAUGGAAUUCCACAAGUAGCGGUGAAAUGCGUAGAUAUGUGGAAGAACACCAGUGGCGAAGGCGAUUUUCUAUUUUACACCUGACGCUAAAGCGCGAAAGCAAGGGGAUCAAACAGG
rnacentral:rRNA from 1 species